rnacentral:rRNA from 1 species
GAUGAACGCUGGCGGCGUGCCUAACACAUGCAAGUCGAGCGGAUCCAUGCUUCUUCGGGGGUGUGGGUUAGCGGCGAACGGGUGAGUAACACGUGGGUAACCUGCCCCUGACUUCGGGAUAAGCCUGGGAAACUGGGUCUAAUACCGGAUAGGAGGCGCCUUCGCAUGGGGGUGUCUGGAAAGGGUUUCUGGUCAGGGAUGGGCCCGCGGCCUAUCAGCUUGUUGGUGGGGUGAUGGCCUACCAAGGCGACGACGGGUAGCCGGCCUGAGGGGGUGU